rnacentral:lncRNA from 1 species
AUUUUUCAAAAUAAAAAUAUUUUUACAAAUUCUUGUUGAAUAAUUCUCUGUUAUUGUUUAUUUAUUUAUUUAUUCAUUCAUUCAUAAACUUUACAUAUCACAGUUAUAGCUGAUAUAAAAGUUACAUCAUUGAUUGUUCUUCAACAGCCAAUUUGAUUCUUAUCAAAAGCUUAAGAAUUGUCCAAAUAUAAUGCUCCCUGGUUAUAACAUGGUUUAAUUGGAGAGUGAUUGGAUCCAUAUUAUAAGGUAACACUAUUAAUUGUGUGAAAUUUUUGCUAUUUUCUUUUAAUAUAAAUCUUUGGAAUGCACGAAAUCUUAUUUUUUGACAAAAUAUCUAUUUUCUAACACAAAAAAAUCAUUUUUUGCUAUAAUAAUUUUUAAUGAAUUUUUAAAUAUGAUACAUCAUUAUCAAAAUUAUGUAAACAGAGUAUCAUAUUUUAUUUACUCUUAAAUCUUUUUCCAAUGUUAAAACAAAUAUAUUUUCUGUUUUAUUUAUAAAUGGGUGGAUUUUAUUACAUAAGAUGAUCUAAGUUCAUUUGGUGAUGUGUGUGAAUGGGUGUGUCACACAAACAACAGCAAUAAAACAUAGCCUCAGGAAAGAUGAAAUCGCAUAUCAUUGCUACACCUGCAAAAUCCAACAAAUGUUAUUUUUGCAAAAAUAUGAUUUUUUAGUCUUUUAUAAUACUGAUGUGGCCUGUAAAGCCCAUUUUUGGAUAUCUCUCUUGGUUUAGUAAAAUACGAAAAACUGUGUAUUUUGACAUUUUAAUAGGUUUUGCAAAACUCUCCAUGCUCAAUUUGAACUCAUAGUGUAUUUUUUAAACAUUAAAAAGUUCAAAUGUUUUCUUUCUCUGACACAAAGUGAAAAUUGCUUUGAGAAAUACACGUCAUAUGACGUGUGGGAGUAGAUAACAUUACAUUGAGUCUCAUAAAAAAAAAUCACAGAAAAAUGAGAGAGAUGUCAUACAAUCAUGGAUGUACAAAAUUAUCAGAUUGAUCAUUUCUCUGAGGAUCUAUAAAUGAGCAAGCUCAAAAGAACAUUUUUAAUUAUUUCUGAGGAUUAUAUUUUUGGGAAAUUAAGUCUAAGCUUUGUAAACUAAACAUUUACAAGCCUGGAAGUGCUUGUAUAUGUGAGAGAUGUAAAAAAAAAAGAUGGCAAAAUUCAGAUGGUAGUUCUUUUAACUGUAGAAUGGCCAGCUGCCAAUCUAAUUGGCUCGCACCGCAUGCACAGUUUAAUUAAAUUAAUUAAUU